GCUGGGUGUGAUGGCACGUGCCUGUAAUCCCAGCUACUCGGAAGGCCGAGGCAGGAGAAUCACUUGAACCCGGGAGGCGGAGGUUGCAGUGCACCUAGAUCUUGCCACAGCACUCCAGCCUGGCGACAGAGUGAGACUCCGUACCAAAGAAAAAAGAAAAAAAUAUAUACCUGGUAUACUGUCCACAGCACCUGUUGAUCAAAGGGGCAAUAAACAGGGACCCUGAAGUCAGGGUGUUUUGUUUUGUUUUGUUUUUUUGAGACGGAGUCUCAUUCUGUCGCCUGGGCUGGAGUGCAAUGGCGAGAUCUCCGCUCACUGCAACCUCCGCCUCCCGGGUUCAAGAGAUUCUCCUGCCUCAG
rfam:Pan troglodytes isolate Yerkes chimp pedigree #C0471 (Clint) chromosome X, whole genome shotgun sequence.